rnacentral:lncRNA from 1 species
CCACUCUAAAGACUCUACGUAUCGUAUUUAUAACUCUAGCACGACGUUCAAUACCAACUGACGCUUGUCUCGUUUUGUAUCUCUCUCUAUCUAUCUAUAUAUGUUACGGCCGUUUGAUUCUUUAUUAUCUUAGGUAUAACGGUAACAUAAUAAGUUAAGUAAUAAAUGGUUUUGUUUGUUGUUGGGGUAAGCUUAAGGGUUUUCGUGUUUAGGGUUAAGAUUUU